CGAACGGAUCCUUCGGGAUUAGUGGCAGACGGGUGAGUAACGCGUGGGAAGCUACCUUGUGGUAGGGAACAACAGUUGGAAACGACUGCUAAUACCCUAUGAGCCCUAUGGGGGAAAGAUUUAUCGCCAUGAGAUGUGCCCGCGUUAGAUUAGCUAGUUGGUAAGGUAAUGGCUUACCAAGGCGACGAUCUAUAGCUGGUCUGAGAGGAUGAUCAGCCACACUGGGACUGAGACNCGGCCCAGACUCCUACGGGAGGCAGCAGUGGGGAAUAUUGGACAAUGGGGGCAACCCUGAUCCAGCCAUGCCGCGUGUGUGAUGACGGCCUUAGGGUUGUAAAGCACUUUCAGCAGUGAAGAUAAUGACAUUAACUGCAGAAGAAGCCCCGGCUAACUUCGUGCCAGCAGCCGCGGUAAUACGAAGGGGGCUAGCGU
rnacentral:rRNA from 1 species